rnacentral:rRNA from 1 species
CGAGUGAAGCGGCAACAGCUCAAAUUUGAAAUCUGGCCUCGGCCCGAGUUGUAAUUUGCAGAGGAUGCUUUUGGUGCGGUGCCUUCCGAGUUCCCUGGAACGGGACGCCACAGAGGGUGAGAGCCCCGUAUGGUCGGACACCAAUCCUGUGUAAAGCUCCUUCGACGAGUCGAGUAGUUUGGGAAUGCUGCUCUAAAUGGGAGGUAAAUCUCUUCUAAAGCUAAAUACCGGCCAGAGACCGAUAGCGCACAAGUAGAGUGAUCGAAAGAUGAAAAGCACCUUGAAAAGGGGGUUAAACAGUACGUGAAAUUGUUGAAAGGGAAGCACUUGUGACCAGACUUGGGCCGGGCGGCUCAUCAGGGGUUCUCCCCUGUGCAUUCCGCCCGGUACAGGCCAGCAUCGGUUCUUACCGGGGGAUAAGAACGGCAGGAACGUGGCUCCCUCUCGGGGGAGUGUUAUAGCCUGCCGUACGAUACCCUGGCGGGGACCGAGGUUCGCGCUUCCGCAAGGAUGCUGGCGUAAUGGUUACUAGUGACCCGUCUUGAAACACGGACCAAGGAGUCGUCCAUUAGAGCGAGCGUUUGGGUGUAAAACCCGCACGCGUAAUGAAAGUGAAAUUAGGUGAGAGCUUCGGCGCAUCAUCGACCGAUCCUGAUGUUCUCGGAUGGAUUUGAGUAAGAGUUUUAACGGACGGACCCGAAAGACAGUGAACUAUGCUUGUAUAGGGUGAAGCCAGAGGAAACUCUGGUGGAGGCUCGCAGCGGUUCUGACGUGCAAAUCG